rnacentral:rRNA from 1 species
UACGAAGGGUGCAAGCGUUACUCGGAAUUACUGGGCGUAAAGCGUGCGUAGGUGGUUUUUUAAGUCCGUUGUGUAAGCCCUGGGCUCAACCUGGGAAUGGCAGUGGAUACUGGAAAGCUAGAGUGCGGUAGAGGGUAGUGGAAUUCCCGGUGUAGCAGUGAAAUGCGUAGAGAUCGGGAGGAACACCAGUGGCGAAGGCGGCUACCUGGACCAGCACUGACACUGAGGCACGAAAGCGUGGGGAGCAAACAGG